rnacentral:lncRNA from 1 species
CGGAGUGACGCGCCUUGUCGCCGCUCCUCCCCGAGCAGAGAAAGUUCCCCUUUUUGACUUUUAAUUCCCCUGAAGUAGCGGUAGUUUGACGCAGAGUCUUUUCAAACGAGACAGAAAGUUUUUACAUGAAAACACUCUGGUGACUUUUCUACAACUGGUAGAAAAGUCACGGCCAAGAAGCGUGCGGCAUCAUGAAGCUACUGCUGCGCUCCUGCAGCGUCUCUCUAUGGACUCUUCUUUUCUUCAGCGCUCUCCUCAAGUUGAUCACAGAUCAUCCAGGAUUUAAUUUCACCUCCCUCCGGCAGGCGGACACAGACAGGCCACAAGAGGCCUAAGCGACACGGCUGCUACUGCGCCCCUGGGAAACUCUUAUGGCUCUUAGGGCCAGAGGUCGACGGGGGCUUUGUAAGGAUCAGCGGGAACCCUGAUACAACCCCUCACAUUUUAAAAGUCUUCUUAAUGAACACAUACGUAAAGUGCACAGCACGUCAACACAGGUGUUUUCACUCAGUUGUAAUUCGGUAGAGCUAUGAUGUAUUAACACCGGUCACAUGACUCCAUUAACCAAUAGGAUCUCUGAAGAGAUGUAAUUAGGCAUACUAAUUGAAAACACCUGUGCAGAUGGGCAAAGGGUGUGUCGGGCCUUUAAGAAAAAAACCAUCCCCCACUUUUUGACAGUGUACUUUAACAAAUAUAAUAUGGGUUAAAGAUUUACAUAAAGGAUAAUAAUUUUGCGUGCAUGGCACAAUUAUUCAAAUUAUAUUAUAUUAUAUUAUACUUGAUUUACUGGUUGGACUGGUUAUCUGUUUAAUCACAUAUUUAUUAUUUCAUAUUCGAUGUGUCUAUUCCCCUGCUCAACCUAAUGUC